AAAGUGGUGGGUACAGUUCGUUUCUCGCUUCUCCCCAUAAAUCCUUCUCUCAAAUCUACAUAAUAGCGUAGAAAUCUACAAGAUUGGUGUGAUCUACCUCCGGCACCUUGCACAGCGAUCGAGAUUCUGCAAUAAGGUAUCGGUUUAGUUUCCUUCUCGAAAUUUCAUGAAAUUUCCGCUUUUUGACUUCGUAGUUAUGGUUCUUGUUUUCAAUUUAUUUUAAUGCACGAUCUUCAUAUCAAUAAAGACUCAUCUUUAUCUAUUCUCUAUGCAGUAGGGCUUAAUUAGAUUUCCAAUGAAAAUUUUGUGGUCAAAUUGAAUAUUUCCCUCACAAUUGAGCAGGGGAUCCGAAGUGAAAAGUGAAAACUACUCAUAGAAGAAAAGUGAUAGUCAAUGGCAAGCACCGCGUGUUUCAUGAUUGUCAGCAAAAGUGAUAUUCCGAUUUACGAAGCUGAAGUCGGCAUUGUCCCCAAAGUAUGCCUCAUUCAAAAUAUGUUUUCUUUGACACUUCGUAUGAUCGCUUUUUAAUAAAUUCUUUGAUCAUACAUUUAAGAAGGAGGAUGCAGCGCAUCAGCAUCAGUUUAUAUUACAUGCUGCGUUGGAUAUUGUCCAAGACCUCGCGUGGACUACGAGUGCUAUGUUUGUAUUCAACCUUAGUUAACUCUAUGCAUCUGAUCAUCUGGUGUUAGUCGGUUUAAUGAUAGCCAUUAGUUUUGUAAGUGUUCAUUACUGUUUACCAUCAUUUUGUGAACCAGGUUUUUGAAAGCAAUUGACAGAUUCAAUGAUUUGGUGGUUUCUGUCUAUGUGACUGCAGGACAUAUCCUUUAUUUGUUCUUUUCUAAUUUAAUGUAUUACUAUUUUUAAUUUUUUUUUUCCCUUCCCGAAAUCAAAGAAGGAAACACUAAGUAUUGAAGGAACACGUGGCUAUGUGCUUCUAUGUUUCCAUUUUAUGCGCAAGUGCAGUUAGCUGCACUCUCACAAAUUUGUUUUGCUUUUUUCCACUUAAUACUUUAUUCAGUAGCUUACUUUUUCUAUUAACUUAAAAAAAUACGGAAAUGGAGUUAUUUUUUUUUUGCCUGAGCCCCCUUAUGAUGUUUUGAUUCUUGUGUUUCUUCUGGAUUGAUAUAUACAUUAUAAAAUUUAUAUUUGAAUGACAAUAAGUUUUGGAAAUGGAUUUGGUAUCAUUAUUUUCAAACUUGAGAAAGGCUAGUCAAAAAAUAAAGUUCCAUUCACCGUAAAGUAUUUUCUAAGUUUUAGUGGAUUCGAGUUAAGUCCAAACAGGUCCUUAAAGUUGUGAGAGCAUUUCCUAUAUGAUUAGAUUCUUGAAGAUGUUUGAGUUUUGGUUUAUCAAGCCACUGUGCUCUAUUCCUGAAAGAAUUGACUUAUUUAGUCUUAUGGUCAUUUUUCUUCUUGUGAUCAUUACUGAAUUUUUUGUCCGGGCUGUAAAGUUGAGGUUGAAAGACAUUUCUGAUUCUAAAUCUAGGCAUGAGCUAUACUCAAUUUCAUUUUUAGGCCCCUCUCUGUUUUAUGCAUAUCUGUAGAUUCUUCCUCUAAAGCGUGCUCGAUUAUUAAGAUGCUUGUAAUUUUAGCUUUUAACAGCUCAAGCAAUCAUGUUGAUACUUCAUCUGAUCUUUCUUUAGCCCAAGUUCAAGUUUAUUCUUUUGGUGAAUGGAGGAUGGGCUAUGUUUCAUAGUUAUCGUGUUACCAAAAGUUGAGUUGCAUCAUCUUCUUCUUCUUCAUCUUCUUUUUUAAUUACAUCUGUCUUUUCUGGUUCCAUCUUUUAUAUUAUUUGGUUUACCUAAAUGCUGAGAUGAGCAUUUUGAAUUCAGUUUCAUGCUUGCCAACUUCUCUGCCAAAGUGUGGAUUCUUUGAAUUUAUACUUUCCCUUCAUAUAAAUUGUUUCGUAGAAGUUUUUAAUAAUAUUGUAAUUUAUCAGGAUCCAUUGAUUUAUGAUUUUUUUCUUUAACCUAAAUCAUACAUACACGUUUGAUGCUGCUUCAUGAUUCUCGUAACGAUGAUGGAAUUAAGAGCUUCUUCCAAGAGGUCCAUGAGCUAUAUAUAAAGGUAAUCUUGUGAAGGGGCUUUCUUUAUAUGAUUACAUUACAUCGAUGCAAGACAUGCCUAAACCACCUGCAUCUUUCUUUUACUUUCUUUUUAUUAAUUCACCUCAAAUUGUUACUGUAUAUUCUCAUUUCUCUAUUUGUUCAUUCUAGGAUGAUUAAACGAUCAUAUGAAGAUCAACAUUUCCUUUAUAUUCAUCUCACGUAUAUCUUUUCCUUUGAGUCCAACAUUAAUUGCUGUAACUUGUAGUGUGUGUAUUAAUCAAUUAUAGAGAUCUUAUCACAGAAAAUCCCUAUAGCACUAUCAUAUGUCUUACAUCCUCUCCAAUUCCUCUUUCCUUGUCACAGCAUGAUCCUCUAACAUGACUCUAAUAUCAUCUUUAUUCCUACUAUUACAGAACGGACAAUCCAUUUACUCUCUUAGUUUUUACUCAAAAUAAGACCUUUUGUUCUAAAGUACUCCAAAGUUCUAGCUUAGAUUUAAUGCCUUUGUGGUCUCAUGCUAGAACUAUAAACUACACCAAGGAACCUCAACUCUGGUAAGCUUAUCUAUUGUUAAUGCAAAUGAUAAUAAGGAACUGAAGGUAAAAUCUUGAUGCAAGCUAGACCUGAUGGAAAUUCUAUACUGUAAGCGCCACUAAAAUUGACUACUCAUACGCAUUGCUAUAUCAGAAUUGAUACUCUAAACGAAAAUUCUAAUCUCUUUAGCACACAAAUUAUAUAUAAAUCUCUCUUCUUUUCCCUAUACUUUAUGGCUAUCAUUGUUGAACCAUGGUUGAUUAUAAUCGUAAAGUUUUGAUUAUAACAAACAAGCUAAUCUCGUUGGCUAACAAGUUGAAUUCAAUCAAUCAAAUGUUUUUAAAGUGAAUGUUUGAAGAAUUAAAUAAGAUGUAAGCUAAAAGAGUUUUGCUCAAAUAUUUUUCAAUUUUAAUGAUUUAUAAGAAUGCUGUAAUGAAUGCAAGAAGUGGUAUUUAUUGAGUUUAAAAUGUCAAAAUAUUUGUAAGCGUGGAUGACUCAUUUGGUCGAUUGCCUCUUAUUUAGAAAAUCAAUAGAGCCGUUUUUACUGUAAAAAUUAGAUGUCAAAAUGGUCAAAAUUUGGACUAUUGGAAUUUUCCGAUCGACCACUACCUUUGGCUGGUCGACCUCCCCUUCUGGCCGGUUGAUCGCCGACAGUUUUCGGUCUUUUUACGUUUUCCUCUCAUUUGACCUGAUUUGAAUGUUUUGAAAACCAUGGAUUUUUGGAAGGUAUUUUUAACUAACUUUUUAUGAUAAAAGAUAUUUUUCAAUUUUAAAUUUUUUUUUGAAAGUCAUUUUUAUAUUUUAUCAAAAUGUUGUAUUCUAAUUAUUUUUAGUGCACAAAAAAAUUGUUUUUAAUGCAUAAAAUGAUUUUAAGUUUCAACAUUCAUUGCAAAAUAUCAAAGUGUUAGUACCUUUUACAUUUUAUCUAAGAAAUCAAGUUUUUGAUUUUUCUCCGGAGUCUGGCUCUUAAAUUCUUAAAUGUGUGACUUUGAUCUUAACCUCUUUCUUGAGUCCGAUUUGUGAUGAUAGUUUUUGAACUUUUGAUGACAAUCGAUCAAUUUUUAUCAUAUGCUUUGAAAAAUUAUAAUUACUUGAAUUCAAUUUGUUAGCAAAUGACAUUAGUUUGUUUGUUAUGAUCAAAACUUUAAUGUUAUAAUCAACCAUACAUCAACAAUUUUUCCAUUUUUGAUUAUGACAAAGAAAAUGAUUUGCAAAGUAAUGUUGAACAAUUGAUAAGAAAUAUAAAUCUUAAAUUUUACAUGUAAUCCAUAUAUUUCCCUUAUAUUUUACAAACCAAUAGCCACUCACUUUAAAGCAUGUGUAUUAAGCAUAUCAUCAAGCAUAUCGACUCUUAUAUUUUAUCCAGCAUAUCAUCUCAUUCAUUUUUCCCCUUUUGUCAUAAAUAAAAAGAUAUAACAUUUAAGAUCAAAACAUACCAUUAUUCUUCAAUUUCCAACAAUUGUGAUUGGUCACAUGAAAUCAUCCAUACCUCCACUCGUAUUAAGGUCUUACCCUUUGGCAUCCUACUUAAUUGUUGGAAAUUGAAGAAUAAUUUUCGUCCGACUAAGGAGUCAAGAGGGAAUAAGUCGAAAUGAGUAACUUCAUCAGGUUGACCUUUCCUAAGGAGAAUAACGUGGGCAAUGAUAAUGUGCAAAACUUUACAAGGUAAAGUGAGUUGGUUUGAGCUAAGCUUUAUCCGAUGUUCAAAAUUUCCUCGUCACUCUACAACAUGCAAUGAUAGGAUUAUAAUCUUCAAAGGUCGGGUGAGCCAUAUGACAAAAAAUUUGAUUCUCAAAUUCUUCAAGCUCAAGGAGAGAACAUAAAAGAGCUUUGGUAAUUAUAGUUAUUUUCCUUUGAGAAAAUAGGAAAUGUUACCCAUACAAGGAGUAUAAACCAUAUUUUUGUAGAAUUAUUUCUUAAGCUUAGUAUAUGCAUUUUCUUCCAUAGAUACAAUAGAGACCUAACCCAUGUUUAUAAAGAAUUCCUGUAUCUGAAAUGUAGGUGCUUGGAGAGUAAAAUUUGCUAAAGUUACGGUCUUACCAAUAAGGAUAGGUAAUUUAUCAAAAUGAUUUUUCGGCUCCUCGAGUUUAUCUUUGAAUGAAGGAGUUGGUAACCUCUUCUUUCUUGCUUUCUUCUAUGUCAUUUUGGUCCUUGGUAUGAUGAUAGAAUAGUGGAAGAAAAAUUUAGAAGGCGUUAAUUGUCAAAAUGAGAGAAAAGAAGGUGGUAGUGGAAGAAAAGGGGGGUUUAAGUAUUUUGAAGAGAAGAAGUAAUGGAUUUUUGAUAUCUUGGUGAGAUAUUGAAGAAUAAUGGUAGAUUUAGUGAGUUUGAAAGUAGAUCUAUGGAGAAGAUGAAGAAAAGUGAGAGAAAUGGAAGAGAAAUGAGGGUUGGAGGUUUUUUAAAACUCGAAAAUCGAAAACAACUGAUUGACCGGUUGAACUAUUCGGUCUACCAGACCUUAUUUCCCAAAAUUUCCACUUUUUUGGUCUAUUGAAACCCCUUUUUGUUAAAAUCAUCUAUAAAUAUCAAAAGUUAAUCAUGUAAAAACAUUAUGAAUUUAACACAACCAUGUACUAUGAAUUCAUCAAUAAUGCCUAAACUUCUUCGAAUAAGCGAGAAUUGAUCAAGUGCUAAAAGUUCAGUAAAAAUGUCAGCCAAUUGAUUUUUCAUGUUUACAAAUAGAUCAAGCACAAAAAUCAAUUGGCUGACAUUUUUGGGAAAAAGGGUCCGGUUGAUCGAACAGUUUAGCCAGAUUGUUCACAAUUUUUCGGGUUUUAAAAAACCUCCAACCUUAAUUUCUCUGACUUUUCUUCAUCCUUUUCAUAGAUUCACUUCCAAACUCAUUAAAUCCACCAUUAUUCUUCAAGAUCUCAACAAUAUAUCAAAAACCCAUUACUUUUUCUCUUCAAAACACUUAAAAACUCCAUUUUUCUUCCACUACCAACUUCUUUUCUCAUUUUGACGGUUAACGGCCUUCUAAACUUUUCUUCCAUUUCUCUAUCAUCAUGCCAAAGGUCGAAAUGCCAGGGAAGAAACCAAGGAGGGAGAGGUUACCUACUCCUUCAUUCGUAGAUGAACUCGAGGAGCCGGAAAAUCAUUUUGAUAAAUCACCCAUCCUUAUUGGUAAGACCGUAGAUUUUGUGGAUCUUACUCUUCAAGCGCACUUCAUGUGGAGGGAUUCUUUAUAAGCAUAGGUUAGAUCUCUAUUGCAUCUAUGGAAGAAAAUGCAUAUCCUAAACUUAUGAAAGACUUUUACAAAAAUAUGGUUUAUACUCCCCAUACGAGUAGUAUUUCUUAUUUUCUUAAUGAAAAAAAAAUUAUAAUUACCAAAGCCCUUUUACAUUCUCUCAUUGAGCUCGAAGAAUGAGAAUCAAAUUUUUUGUCACAUAGCUCAUCGACAUUUGAAGGUUAUAAUCCUAUCAUUGCGUAUCGUAGAGUGACCAAGAAAAAUUUUAAACAUUUGAUAAAGCUUAACUCAAACCAACUGGCUUUACCUUGUAAAGUUUUGCAUAUUUAUCAUUGCCUACGUUAUUCUUCUUAGGAAAAGUCACUUUGAUGAAGUUACUCAUUUCGACUUAUUCCUUGUUGACUCCUUUAAGUCGAGCGAAAAUUAGAUUUUUCAACAAUUGUGAUUAGUCACAUGAAAAUCAUCAAUUCUACCACUCGUAUAAUGGUAUUACCCCUUGGCAUGAUACCUAUUAAAAUUUUAACAUUUUGAAAUUUCUUUAAAUGGCGAGGUCUUCAUUUCACUCCAUCCCACCAACAUCAUCAGCACUCAUAUACUCUUAAACGAAUUAAGACUGUCAAGGAACAUAGGCAAUGGGUAGCCCGUACUAAGAGAUUUGGUUCGGACUCAAACCCUUCGACUUUACCCUUCGAAGGAGAUGAAGAGGAGGAUGAUCAUGACGACGAUGUACCGUUAGUUCCUAGUCCUCUGCAUGACAUCUCAGGUUCAAGUGCUCCUCCAUCUUCCGAUGGUUUUACUUUUAUCGAGGAUCACUGCAAUCUCCUUAAUGGGCGAAUUAACUCUCAUACAUCAUCCGUCGACGAGGCUGGAGGGAUGCUUUAUCGAUUGCAAGUUUAACACGAUGUAAUACAAGCUCAACAGGUGGCGAUACAAACUUAGCAAAAUGCCUUCUAUGCUUACGACAAUGUUCAACAAGAAGCAAUGUAGGCUCAACGAAAAUGUUUUUAUGCUCUGUUCGAUGUCCUUUUCCCACCAUCGCCUUCUCUGAAGUCUUAGAUAUGACUUUAUGCAUAUAUAUUUUAGUCAUUAUUUUGAUCUAACCUCUUUGUAUCUUUAUCUUUCUUAGACUCAUGCUUUGACUUGCUUAUAUAUGCACUAUCUAAGAUUUUGAACGUUUUGAUUAGGUUUCAUGUGUUAAAUUAAGGGAGAAUUUUGUAUUGUUUCCUAUGGUUGUGUUCUGUAUUAAAUAUUAUAUCUUUUUACUUAUAACAAUAUGGGGAAAAAUAUGUGAGAUGAUAUGCUUUAUACACACAUUAAAGUAAAUGGCUAUUGGCUCUUAAAAUAUAGGGAGAAUAUAUGGAUUACAUGCAAAAUUUAAGAUUUAUAUUCCUUAUCAAUUAUUCAAUAUUAUUUUGUAAAUCAUCUUAUUUGUCAUAAUAAAAAAGUGGAAAAUUGUUGACCUAUAAUUGAUUAUAAACUUAAGGUUUUGAUUAUAACAAAUAAGCUAAUCUUGUUUGCUAACAAGUUGAAUUUAAGUUAUUAUAGUUUUUCAAAGUAUAUGAUGAAAAAUCGAUCAAUGGUCAUCAAAAGUUAUCAUCACAAAUUGGAUCAAGGAGGAGGUCAAGAUCAUAGUCACACAUUUAAAAAUCUAAGAGCUAAACUUCGGACUUGAUUUCUUAAAUAAAAUGUAAAAGUACUAACACUUGAUAUUUGACAAUGAAUAUUAAAGCUUAAAAUCCUUUUACGCAUUAAAAAUAAUUUUUUUGUGCAUUAAAAGUCAUUCAAAUGCAAAAUUUUGAUCAAAUAUAAAAAUGACUUUUAAAAAGAUAUUUAAACUUGAAAGAUAUCUUUUAUAUUGAAAAGUUAGAUAAAAAUGCUUUUCAAAAGUUUAUGCCUUUCAAAAUCUUCAAGUUGGGUUAAACGGGGGCAAAAUGUAAAAAAAUCGAAAACUGCCAGCAGUCGACCGGAGGCGAUCGACCAGGGCCAAAGGUGGCAGUCGACCGGGAAAUUUCAAUAGUCCAAAAUUUGACCGUUUUGACCUCUGAUUUUUACUGUACAAAUGGCUAUAUUGAUCAUUCGGAUAAGAGGCGAUUGACCAAAUGAGUCAUUCGCACUUACAAUUUUUUUGAUGUUUUAAACUCUAUAAAUACCCCCCGCUUCUUGCAUUGAUUACAGGAUUUAAAAGUGAGAACUAUUUGAGCAAAAUUCUUUGAGCUUACAUCUUAUUUAAUUCUUUAAACACUAACUAUGAAAACUUUUGAUGGAUUAAAUCAACUUUUGAAAAUCAUCUUUUUCAUCAAAGUUUGUUUACCUAAUACUUGAACUUCAUUCAUUGUUCUUUAUUAAAGUGUUAGCUCUUUUUCUCUUUUGUACUUAAUUUUGAUUGUAUCAUUUAUUGUGAGGUCAAAUUGUAAACUCAUUACUCUUUGGAUUUGUGGGUCAUAUAAGUGUCUCGUAAAGCUCUAUACUGUUUAAGGAUCAGUGCUCCUUGAUGGUAAGUCACCGAAAGCGUUGUAACGGGUUGGGUUGUACCAUAAGUCAAUCAAUAUGGUGAAAAAGGGCUUGCUUGUGCCGGAGAGUUUGGUAAAGGGAGACGAAGAUCAUUAUUUUGGAUUGAACCUUUGUAAUUAUAUCGUUUGCAUCCUCUGUACGUUUUUGCUUAUCAUUAUGUUAUUUAUAUUUAUUAUUUGAUUAAUCUACUUGUCUUUACUUGCUUAUGAUUAUUAAUUGAUCGAUAUAUUCUUUACUUACUUGAUUUAAGUGUCUUUUUCAAAAAAGUUUAAAAAACCAAUUCACCUCCCACUUGGUUAGCUAUUCUUGGGUUAUCAAUUCUAAAUAGGUACAUAGCUUCCAUUUUAGGUCUCCUUGGAAUUGGUUUUUGAGUCCUUUGAAUUACACCUUAAUCUAUGCUCUAUCACUGUCUCCAAUUAUCACAUAGUAUGGUAUGAGUUUAAUACCUUCAUAAAUUGUGAGAUUUUAAACUUUGUUCUUUUUUUGCUCAUUUCUUAAUAACUAAAUCAACACCAGCCUAUGUGCAUAGUUAAACUGUCACCUGGAUAUUACAUUGCAAUCCUUUCCCAAAGACCUAUCCACCUUCCUACCAACAGAAUUUUAUUUGACUAAAGUUUCUGUCCUCUCCAAAAGCUAUAAGGUGAAAGUUUCUGAUCUUGAAGUGCGUAUGUGCUAACACCAAAUCAUAAAUCAACUGAAGUCCAAAAUAGUAUUACCUUCUUCAUUUCAAUAUUCCAAAUCUUUCACAUUCUUUCAUAUCUGAAGUUAACUUUCCCAGCAUCAUGACUGAAAUCCCCUCGAGGGAAUUAACGAAUAGAGCCGUUCCAAAUCAUUCCUUUUUGCCUUAGGCCUUUGACCUAAAAAUACUACUGUUUCGUCCAAAAUAUCCUUAAAUUCAAAACAUGUUCAUCUUUGAAAUUUGGGCAGCAUUUGAAAUUCAAAAUCGAACUUAACACACACCAAACUUCUCUUCUCCUCUUCUUUCCUCUGUGCUUUAGCCAGAAAAUGAAGGGUCCGAUGGUAAUUCUCUGGAGGAGUGUUUUUGCUAUUUUAUAUUUCUGUUUCUGGAGAAUAACAGAUGGGAUGGUGGGCCAUAAUGGUGGUGGGUUGGGUGGUUUCAUGCAGUUUUUGGAGGUGGUUUGCUCUUCUUCUUGAAAGUUUAUGUGGGUUUUGAAAAAUGUUGCCAUGAACACACUGAACCGGCAACGGAGGAAGAGAAAGUGAGCUUGAAACUGACUAUGGUCGUUUAAAUGACCAUCAGCCAUUUAAAGGGUAUUUAAGACUUUUAAAGAGAAUAGAGUCCUUUUACACUGAAAACAUGAAACUGAGGUUGGUAGUCACUUUUACCUGCACAAAUUGCCCAUUUGUCGAGCAUGUAUGCUAAAUGAAACUGUCCAAUUCUUUUAUUAAAAGAAGUCCAAUAUAUAUAAUUGGAUCCUUUGACCCCUUUGAACUUCUGCAGCCUGUUUAUUAAACCUUGUUCAUUGAUUGCUCCACUGCACUUCUUUAACCUCCUCAUAAUUUUGUAAUUAACCGUUGUAUUGUUUUUGUAUUUCUUAUAUAGCGUGAAGUUCCUGCAGUUUCUUAAUUUGUGAUGGUUUUCUAAUCAUCAAUUUAUGAUCAAAAUUUGAUUGCAGACUCUUCUCAAUCCUCUUUAUCUACCUGGAAGCCGCAUUACAUCCUCGCAUUUUGACACAAAAGUUCGUACUCUUGCCAGAAAAUAUUUGUGAAGCAGUCAUUUGAUUUGAUGGUGUUGGGAGCUUUUCUGCCUAUGUGCUAUGUUAUUGGGGGCAUAUUGUUUCAGUAGAAAGUAACCUUUCCAUGCUUGUCAAGAGGGAUUUAUCUAUUUUUGAUAUAUUUUAUUGACUAUUUGUAGCUUAGAUCUUUUAAAGCUUCAUUUGGUUACUUUUCUUCAUUUUAACCUCUUUUUAUCUCGGUUCAAGAGUACUUGUUCAAAAACUUUCACGUAGUUACAUUUUUUUUUUUAGCAAAUGCAUACAGGACAAUUCUUUUCUUGUGCCCUUCCAAUUCUCACAAGAUCUGAUUGAACUGCAUGCUACCUCAUGCCAACGGGGGUUUGAUACUUCUAAAACUUGGUUUGAAGAAAGUGGUCGAAUUUCCUAGUGUCAUAAAUAUCAUAUAGGAUGAAUAAUUUUUUUCCUUUCCUCAAUAGUUCUGAAUUCUCAAUGAUCUCAAAUGUCAUGUCUGGUUGUAUUUGUCACCUAUCUUUUCGUGUGUUGAUCCUGGAGGGAUUGGGGAACUUUAAACACAUUAUCAAUGAGAUAAUGUUCUUUACUGGAGUAUUGUUUUUCGUAUAAUAUAUAUCAAGAUUUGGCACCUCUGUUGGGAACAUGUGACUUACAUGGUCCCUGCAACUUCAUUCUUCACUUGCCUCAAUCACAAGGAGCCUGCUGACAAGUAAGCUUGUGUAUAUAGUCAAUGUACCUGAAUGAUUUUAUAGAUCAAGUGGGAG
rnacentral:lncRNA from 1 species